rnacentral:rRNA from 1 species
UACGAAGGGGGCUAGCGUUGCUCGGAAUUACUGGGCGUAAAGGGCGCGUAGGCGGCCAUUUAAGUCGGGGGUGAAAGCCCAGGGCUCAACCCUGGAAUAGCCUUCGAUACUGGAUGUCUUGAGUUCGGGAGAGGUGAGUGGAACUCCGAGUGUAGAGGUGAAAUUCGUAGAUAUUGGGAAGAACACCAGUGGCGAAGGCGGCUCUCUGGACCGUAACUGACGCUGAGGCGCGAAAGCGUGGGGAGCAAACAGG